GUUUUGAUUUAUAUCAAUUAUAUAAAACAAAACAUAAAGGUUAUUCCUGAUUAAUUUUUUGAAUUAUUUUAUAAUUAAAGGCGUUGAGAAACCUUUGGUGACCUCACAGUUUAAAUGUCUAUCGUAGGUACGUCGUGAACAGUGGUCGUUACAGACAAACGUUCAUGUAAAUUGUCCCAGUCAAUGGAUGAAUUUAAUGUGUCAAUCAAUGGCCACAGCC
rnacentral:lncRNA from 1 species